rnacentral:lncRNA from 1 species
GUUUAGAUGCGCCAGGCUGCCUGGUGCUGUCAGCUUGUGCCUUCCAUCCACAUCAAACUGUCUUUCCCCCUCCUUUCAUGCUCUCCUGCUUUCAUUUGGCCACUGGAGCCUUCCUCAGUGGUUUCCUCCCCCAGCCAUAAGUGCCCUAAUAGGUUUAUCUGCCUGGUCCUCUCUACAGGCUAGUUAAUAGUUCUAGUUUUACAUAAAUUCCCAUGUCAUUGUUAUUUGUCCAUGGGGCUGAGCUUUACUGAGGCCGGCAUAUAGCACUGUGCCUCAUUUAAAAUAUGCCAUCACUUCAUUAUUCAUGUUUCUACCUGGUUUCUGAAGCUUCCUAGGGCAUCUUCUACAUUGGAUAAAGAGACAUUCCCAGUCAAGCCCUUUGAAAGAUUUAGAAGAGAAGCAAGUGACAGUCGAUUGCUUGGUCUGACCUUUGUUCUCUUAUCAUUCUUGGAGAAGUCAGGAAGAGAGGUUCAUUUUCAUUCCGUUUGGGUUUGUUUAACAUCCACUAUAGGUUAAGGAAAAAUGCAACUAUUAAUCUUUCUAACUUUUUUGUUAUUCUAGCAUCUUGUCUAGAGUGUUCGAACUCCCCUGUUCUGCCAGUGUGUCCUCUGCAGACCAUAUACAGGGUGACUUAUAGCAAGAAUACAGUUCACUCUUCAAGAAUACAGAGCACCACUCCUGUAAAUCACAGUGAAUUUGGCUUGAAUUUUGCAGCGUUGCUGCUGGAAGGCAAGUAAUGCUGGA